AGCAGUUUCCACCGCAUUAAGCACUCCGCUGGGGGAGUACGACCGCUAGGUUGAAACUCAAGGAAUUGACCGGGGCCCGCACAAGCGGUGGAGCAUGUGGUUUAAUUCGAAGCAACGCGAAGAACCUUACCAGGUCUUGACAUACUCGUGCUAUCCUUAGAGAUAAGGAGUUCCUUCGGGACACGGGAUACAGGUGGUGCAUGGUUGUUGUCAGCUCGUGUCGUGAGAUGUUGGGUUAAGUCCCGCAACGAGCGCAACCCUUAUUACUAGUUGCCAUCAUUAAGUUGGGCACUCUAGUGAGACUGCCGGUGAUAAACCGGAGGAAGGUGGGGAUGACGUCAAAUCAUCAUGCCCCUUAUGACCUGGGCUACACACGUGCUACAAUGGAUGGUACAACGAGUCGCCAACCCGCGAGGGUGCGCUAAUCUCUUAAAACCAUUCUCAGUUCGGAUUGCAGGCUGCAACUCGCCUGCAUGAAGUUGGAAUCGCUAGUAAUCGCGGAUCAGCACGCCGCGGUGAAUACGUUCCCGGGCCUUGUACACACCGCCCGUCUCACAAAGGGUAAGUUGUUUAGUUA
rnacentral:rRNA from 1 species